UAACACACAUUUUUACUGGGGAAGGGAAGCCGCGGGGAACCAAAUUUGGUUAUCGAGCAGCGACACCCAAGAUUCGUCAUCUAAUUUAAUUUGGAAACUCGGAAGUUAUGUUUUAAGAAUAAAAUGUACCGGUACAGGUUUGAAAAUCCCAUCCCAUCGGAUAACUCGUAGGGUAUUCCCUGAUUAAUCGGGUAAGUAAAGGUCUGAAAUGCUGAUACGUGUUGUAUAUAUUGUCUAGAAAUAGCCUGAUUGCGAACACUAUAAACACUAAUAAGUAGUUUAUAUAUAACCAUAGUUUAAAUAGGCGCAAACAUGCAAAUGGCAAUGAAUUAUAAAUAGGCCAUGUUACAGGAUGAAAAGGACGCGGGAAAUCAGUGGUGGUUAUCGAGCAGCGGCACCUAUAAAAUAACUCUGGACACUAUAUUAUAAAGAAGAAAAAGUCAAAUACAGUGUAAAUAAAUUGGAAAAUAAAAUGCAUACAAUAUCUCGAGGCAAUCUGCUAUAAUCAACAGUCGCUCACUUCAACAAAACACGACUCUGAACACCACUAACUUGGUAACCAUGGAGAUGGUAUUAAUGGACUGUGUCACAACAAUACUAUUGCUGUAUUGUGAUGCGCAUUGUCUAACAGUCGCCAAUAAACGUCAGAUUCCGAAGGCGUAACACUGGCUUUCAAUUAGACGCGGUGGAUAUUGAGAGCAAAGAAACAGGUGAGGGUAUGAAAACAGUAAUACAACAACUUAGGAGAUAAAUUGUUUCAAACAAUUGGAAGUAAGUCGACAAAAAAAAUAAUGUUAAUAGGACAUGUUUUGUUUGCUUUUUAACAUAUGAAUAACAUGUGUCAUCAAUGCUCAGGGCAUUGAUUCAAUUACAGAAAUCAGAUAUGAACUCAUUCACUACAUUAAAGUAAAUACAGUAAUGAACGUUUGUCAUAUAAAGAUACAAGAGCUAUAAAUUGAGAAAGAUUGUUGCUGUAAAGUAAU